rnacentral:tRNA from 1 species
GGUGCUGAGGCUCAGCCGGCUAAAGCAUCUGCUUCAGAAGCAGGGGAUCCUGGAGACAACUCUCAGCAGUGCCU